rnacentral:rRNA from 1 species
GACGAACGCUGGCGGCGUGCUUAACACAUGCAAGUCGAACGGAAAGGCCCUUCGGGGUACUCGAGUGGCGAACGGGUGAGUAACACGUGGGUGAUCUGCCCUGCACUUUGGGAUAAGCCUGGGAAACUGGGUCUAAUACCGAAUAGGACCACGCGCUUCAUGGUGUGUGGUGGAAAGCUUUUGCGGUGUGGGAUGGGCCCGCGGCCUAUCAGCUUGUUGGUGGGGUAAUGGCCUACCAAGGCGACGACGGGUAGCCGGCCUGAGAGGGUGACCGGCCACACUGGGACUGAGAUACGGCCCAGACUCCUACGGGAGGCAGCAGUGGGGAAUAUUGCACAAUGGGCGCAAGCCUGAUGCAGCGACGCCGCGUGAGGGAUGACGGCCUUGGGGUUGUAAACCUCUUUCACCAGGGACGAAGCGUAAGUGACGGUACCUGGAGAAGAAGCACCGGCCAACUACGUG